ACGGAGACUCAGCAGCUGUUGCCAGUCUCUGCUGAUAUUCUUGCUAAGCAGCUGGCUCACCUUAACCUCCCAUGAUGUCACCAUGGGGCAUAAUAAUGACUAAUGUUAACAACCUGAUGAAAUCAUUUACCUCAUCCAUGAAAUGGGAUCAUAACAGUACCCACCUCCUGGGCUUGUCAGGGGAGGGUGAAAGGAAGUGACUGACCGGCCUGAUGAAACACUCCUCGCCUGAUGCCCUGCAACAUUAGUAAGCUCGAUGGCAGUUGAGAGUCAGGCCUUUAUUUACAUGGCUGCCUGAGACGGACGAACUCUGGGAUGCUCCACUCCACCCAUCCAUGAAGGGCCUGCUACCUACAUCCCUCUUGCUGAUGACAAGGUGAAAGGGCAGAGAGAUGAGAACGUGGGCUCCCUGCAAGGAAGAGCUGUAUCCCCAGGACUAGGAUGAUGCCCAUGCCCAACAAUUGCCAUUUUACCAGUGAGGAAACUCAGAGAGGGCAAGUGCCGUCCACAGGCUCACUUGGCUAGUUCGGAUGAAGCCACAAAGUGGAGUGAAUCACUGCCCUGUUCUGGCCCCGGAGCAGCAUGGCUAAUGGGAGCAGGCGCCCUCCUCUUGUGACGUGACCCCAGAGGUCAAGAGUAUCAAGAGCUAGAGACCCCAGAGCGGAAAGGAAAUCCCAGAAACUGCUACACUUGGCUCUCCCUUCCUUCAGAAAGAAACUUCAUGGUGUGAGCUGGGCACCUUCAUGCGGUCGAUUUCAGGGAUUGAGGAACCCUUACCGACCGUGGUGCUGUGGUGUGAAUCUUCAAUGCUCCCAGCUUCCUCGUGCACGAGGGGAUGGAUGUGAGGAGAGAGAUUCACAACAUCUCAAAGGGCUGAGAAUUACUGCUGGGUGCUCAGCCCUAAGUGACAUCUACACUGCAAGGUGGAGGAGACAUUGUAGGAGAGGGUUCAAAAGGAACAGAAGAGCCAGAGGGGAAGAAGCUGUGAAACGCUCUCUGCUCGACAGGACACAGUCUACAAUAGUCCGAAUAUCACUUUGAUGUCAUUUCAUCCAAAUAAACCCCAGUCUGCUGAAGCCUACACACCUGCAGUUGCCCCAGUUAGGAAACUUCUGACCCACUCAAGCUCAGGAUCACAGGCUGCCUUGGAACCUGAGCCCACAGCCAUUCAACUGGGAUAGUUCCUGUGAACUCUGCCCUACUAGAAGGCUCCAGCAUUGCAGCCUCUCAUUUCCUCAGAACCUGCUCGGAAGUGUCUGGGAGAUGAUUGUCACAAAUGGGCGUGUAGCCGAAAUAAU
rnacentral:lncRNA from 1 species